rnacentral:lncRNA from 1 species
ACAAUUUGCCAGCUACAAAAGCAAAACAUAAGGGAAAACCCCAUCUUUUUUGGCUGUUUCUCUUCAACAAUGGCACCAUAUGUAAGAAAUGAAAAAACAGAAAAGAAAAGCUAUAUCAGUAAUCGUCUCCCCAGGCUAAGGCAGACCACCUGUGUGGAUUCAUUUGUAUCAAUCAAUCAAUCUCUUUCAGAAUCACUUUCCACACUUCCCAUGGCCUUCAAUCCUCUUGGUUUCUGAAUUACAGAAAGCAAACAAAUGGGCACCGUCUAUAAUACUGAUUAAAGAGCAAGAGAAAGAUGGGUGUGAAAGCCAGAAGUGGUUACCUUCUUUGAAGUUUUCUUCUCCCUGACUUGAUACCUCUCCUGGCACAGGUCUGAUAGCCAUGUCCCUGGGCUCACCAACUACACCACCCAACCCAACAAAUGAGAAGCAAUCUUAGCAAUUUAAAAAAGAAAAAGAAGGGAAGACUUGACUGACGAGAAUGCUUCUCUGGAUCAACUUUGCCCUUUUCUUUGGCCUUUGAGGAAGCUUACAUCCCUUCAUUGCCAUGAAAUCCUGUUCUUUUUCUUUAUUAGAUAAUGUGGUGAACAAUCUGGGCCACACAGUCCCUUUAUCUUCCUUAACAUGGUGGUGAUCCAUCAAAACCUUGGUAUUAUUGUCUUCCAACACUAUGGAACCCGAUCCCCUUGUUGCAUAGUACCUAUCUUCCUUCUCCGGAGAUGUCAAUGCCGAUCUUGACUUAUUUGUUCCCAAAUCCGAAUUCCUGUUAAACCAAAUCCCAGAUCUAUGAUUACACUUCUAAACUAAUAAUAAACUAGUUCUGGGUAAUCAAGCAAACAAACAAAAUCCUUUCCUUACAUUUUGAGACGAUUGGCAACAGGCGAGGAGCCCAUCUUCUUGUUGGGCAGAGGUAAGGAGUGCGGCGUGGUAGAGGUGCCGCCGCCGCUGUUGCCAAACUGAUGCUGGUGCUGUUUUUUAAGCUUGUUGAAACAUCUUAGCCUCUUUCUGUUUCCCCAUUGCAACACGAAAUCUUUCUCCAUUUUCCCACCUUGCAUUUCCAUUCACUUUCUUCUCCCCAAGAUCUGCCAACCAAUGUAUCGCUUCAGCAAAAGCAUUUAUGAUUUCUCAUCCUGGACUGCCU